GAUUGAUUAAACGACUCGUGUGUUUCUCUUCGUCCUGAGAAUUGCUGUGAAGCUAGAUAACAUGCUAAUGCUGUGUUCUGAACAUAGUUUGACAAGUUUAGUCGACAUAUAAUAUGUCAUUUCGACGUUUUGGUGCGCACCCACUUGACUUUUUGGCUGCAUUUCAACCGAAAUGUGUCGUGUUUGAUCACCGAAAGACACAGACUUCCAAACUAAAGCUGUUUUUGGUUCCAGUGUCUGUGAAGGGAGGGUGCAGGUCCGUCCUUGGGAAGAAGGAGACAGUGAGAAGUGAUAAUUUGGAAGAGAGAAAACAAGAAAGGACGAGAAAGAGAUGACAAGGAUGGAGAGAGAGCAUCUCCCAAAAAGAAAGCCAACAUCCUGUCUUCUGUGUCCCGGAGCACUUCAUGCUUCUGCUUCCAUUAACCUCCAACGUGACGGGAGGAAAACAAGCUGGUAUUUCCCCCUCUUUCUUCCACAUAGUGUGUGAAGCUGAAAUGUGCCGCAUACACCAGAGGUGCGGGACGGAUCACAGGCGACACAGAUUAGGAGUCAACGGGGGUUCCCUUCCUCUGAUGGGGCGCUGCUGGAGAGACCAUUAGAGAACCAGAGCUUGGGCACGGAAGGGGAGGCCCAACGCUAUCAAAGCAUUUCAAACAGAAUUUCUAUCAGGCAGCUCUGCAGACGGUAAUGAAAUCGAUCAGGCCCCCUUGUCCUGAUCUCAAAGUAUGUGAGAGUGGUGUGUGAGGGAAGGGAAAUUAGCAUAACUGCCAUUCCCACAAGGAAGUGUCGAGAGUGUUCAGACGGCUGCCAAAGAGUUUAGGAGAAUUUAAAGUGCUUGACCUAAUGCCCUGUCUCCCUCAGUCUCGCUUGAUUUAUAUUCUAAAUAGAC
ensembl:lncRNA